ACCCAAAAAAAAAAAAAAAAAAUCAAAUCAGCACAAAAUUAUAUAUAUAUAUGUAUAUAGUUACUAUGAGGUUGAGCUCAAAGGAUAGCGACUCGCCCACUCUGGGUCCUCUUAUAAAUGGAAGAUGGUGCGCGCUUUAGAUCUGCCGUGGGACUUCCGUCGAUGUAAAUUUGUAGCCUGAAAAUUGAGGUAGCUACUAUAGCUAUGGCGUCGCUCUUCAAAUCAAGCAAAAAAAAGAAAUUGGCCAAGUUACUGGAAAAAGUAGAUGAGAUAAUGGAAGAAAUACAUCGCAUGCAAAAACAGCAAGAUGAAACAAACGAGAAAAUCAACUUCGUCUGUCAUGCUCUCAGCAAUCAUCAACCUCUGGGGCCUGUGAUUGGAAAGCAGGAUGUCGUGAACCCACAUACACCUUCUCCUAGCAAGGGGAGGACAAAUGUUUCAGUAGAAAUUCCAUGUCCAGAAAUUAACGAGAAGAAGGGUACACCUUCGGACGACCGUAAGCGGCCGUCACCUUCGCAGAGGCAUAGUAAUAACAGUCAAAUUCAUGAUGCCUUUAGUAGAAGUGCAACCAUGCCAUCAUCAUCUUCAGGAUCAGGCACAUUUGUUGAAAACAAAAAACAUUCUCGCUCAAAAUCUUCUUCUAGCUUGCGCAUCUGACAUCUCUUCAUAAAAGUAGCUUUCCCUGAAGAUGAUCAAAAUCAUUAAUUUGUCUACCGAACAGUAAAAUCACUUAUAUUUUUUGCUACUACGUUUUUGUCUUUCAGACAUUUCAAAUAAAGUUUCUUCUUCUGAAUGAUA
rnacentral:misc_RNA from 1 species